AGGCCUUCUAGUCCAGGCCCCCAUUUUACUAAAAACAAAGGCACUGAAGGAGAAGGGCUUGCUCAGGUCACCCAAGGCCAGCGCAUCCGCUGACCUCUCACACCUCUCUCCUCUCCCCCUAAGUGGCCACUUCUGUCAGGCCCACCAGGGAUGCUGUGAGCCAGAAUAUUCUGGGGGGCGGGUAAUUACGGCUCCCCCCACCUCCCCCGACCCACCCACUGAGCCCUGGCAGCCACGUGGUCGGAAGGGCCUGUGGCGCAAUGGCCCGGAAGGCAGUGACACCACUUCCCUUCCUAAGAACUGUGGCCCCUUGGGGAAGAUGCUGCUAGGAGACUGAGGGGCUAGGUCCCCAGGCACGGCGACCACAAGACACCCCUCGCCACCCUCCCCCCCAGCAUCUUUCUGCCCCGUGUCCAGCCUCCCCAGUUCCCAGAGGACAGCAGCUGGCCCUGCUCCCCACUGGCGCCCAUGAGCACAGCAAGCAGGUCCCGGCGGGAAGGAAGGAAGUACUCACUGAGCAGUGUCCUCCGAAUACACUGUGCCCGCAUGCUGGGUGACCGAGCUCCGGCCUGUGCCUGCUGGGGGUGACACCUCCCGGCUGGGAGCCCUGCGGGCUGGCAGCCACUUUAUGCCCGCCGGGGUGAUUGGCCAACACCUCGUGAGGCGGCCAAUGGGCGCUGGGCGCGGUGGCAUGCCUGCUCCUCCUCCUGUUUUCUUCGAAUUCGUUCUUCGAGGUCAGCCCCACGCCCAAGGAUGAUGCAAACCGCAGCCUCAGCCUUUUAUGGGGCACCCUGCACACAACCAGCCAUCCCCAGACCAUCGCCCACAACAGGCCCCUUCUCCACAGACAGGACCCUCUGGGGAGAACCAGGCACUUGGAGCAAGAGAAACAGGAGAUCAGGUUCAAGCCCACUGACAUGCUGUGAGAUCCAAGGCAAGUCGCUUAACUUCUCUGGGCCUUCGAGACCCCCACCAUCCCCGCCACCUGUAAAAUGAGGAUUUGAAAAGCAUUUCCUGGCCACCUCACAGGGCUGCUGCCAUCAUGGACAUAAAAGGCAAGAGCCCUUUGAAGGCAAAAGGAAAGAUGAAAGUCUGAUUCCAAGUACGAGCUGUCGGGAGGCGGGGUGGGGGGCGGAGGAGAUGGGGAAGCUGUGAGCUCAGAGGGGAAGCCAGAGAAGGGGAGUCGCCGCGGUGACGGUUGGGGACCAGGUUUCACUUUCUCUGAAAGAUAGUGAUCUUGGGUUGGUCCUCUGCUUCUUGCAGGCGUCAGAAUGAAGGGGCCCUGGAGACAGCGCCUCCAGAGGCAGCCUGCUGCUUCACUGGAGGAUACACUGAGGCCAGAGAGGGCAGAUGACGGGGCAGAGGGCUGGCACACCGUGCCUGCAGCUUCAGCACGUCCACCGGACCUAGACGAGGGUCUUAGCCUGUGCCCAAGGAGUUCUGUGGGGAACAGGGUAUCAAAGGCUGAGGAGCCAGGCUGGGGUCCCUGGGGGCGACCGGUGAGGCCUGCACUAGGAAAGCCAAAGUGGCUGGAAGAAGAGACAGGCACCCUCCCACCAUCCCCACCCCAGCACCAGUCAUCACCAUGAAGGCUGUUCCCACCAGCUCUCCCCCUGCAGACACACCCACGCAGUCAUUUAUGCCAUCAACAAACUUGUAUUGGGCCCCUGCUCUUGGCUGGCCACUCCCAUCUGCUGAGGAUCUAGCAGGGGACAAAACCAGAGGAACCCCCAUGCCCAGGAGGCUUCCUGCACACACACCCCAACUCCCUGCAUGCAGCAUGGUAUUCAUCACACCGCAGCUGCCGCCGCCGCCGCCACUCCCGCCCCCCUCAAGGGCCAGUUCUGGAUUCUCCUCCUGAGAACUUCGCUUCUACUAGAUUCCUCAUCUCAGGUCCCACCCACACAGGCGGCUCCCUGGGAUCCUUCUUCAUUUUACACCCCUGAUCUCAUUUUGCCACAACCCUGGGAGGGAGAGUAGCUGGGCGGGGAGGGCAUGGCUCCCUUUAACAAGGAAACUGGGAGGAGCUCAGGGACAGGCUCCAGCCCCAAGGGCAAGGUCUGGCUGGAGAGCUUUGUGCCCCUCUCAGGGGCUCCUUGCUGACCGACCGCCAUACUCAGGGGACAGCCCUGUGCUUUCACCCCAUGGUCCAGAGAGGUUGCAUGUCCUCCUCAGCUUAAAGAGGCCCCUGAGGACUUCCCUGGUUAAGGAUUAGCAGGUUAAGGAUCUGGCAUUGUCACUGCUAUGGCACGGGUUCCAUUUCUGCCCCAGGAAAUUCCACAUGCUGAGGGUGCAGCCAUAAGUAAAGAAAGAAAGAAAGAAAGAAUAAAUAGAUAGACACAAAAAUAAAGGAGCCUCCAAGGCCCAGAGACGUUGAGUUUGCCCUGCCUGCAGCUGUCCUUUGUAGAAACAUUUAAGAGGAGCAGGGCAUGCAAACCAGGGCUAUCAAAUCAGAAAGACCUGGCUCUGAGCACGAGGCCUUAAACGUGAAUAUUAGGUCGCUCAUGCUGCCAUAACCAAAUAUCACAGACCAGGGGGGCUUAAAUGACAGAAAGGCAUUUUCUCAGUCCUGGGGCCAGAAGUCUGAGAUCAAGUUAUCUGUAGUGUUGGUUGCAUCCCGAGGCCUCUCUCCUUUGGCUUGUAGACAGCCCCCCUAUGGUCGCCUCCCAUGUGGUCAUCCCUCUGUGUGUCUGUGUCCUCAUCUCCUCUUCUUAUAAGGACAGCAGUCAUGUUGGAGGGGGGCCCACCCAAUGGCCUCCUUUUACCUCGAUGCCCUCUUUCGAGGCUCUCUCUCCAAAUACAGUCACGUUCUGUGGUGCUGGGGGCCAUGAGCUCAACCUAUGACUUUGAGGACAUAAGUCCAUGCCUAACAGCUUGCAAGAGGGCAUGGCCAGAGGGCUGCAGGGAGUGGGGACCCCCGGAGAGAGUCUGAAGCCAGGUGGAAGGGGGCUGUGAUGUGCAGGAGGACAGGGAGUGGCCCCAAGGUGAGGAGACCCAGCUGUCCAUCAGAGCAAAGUGUGAGGGGAAGAUGCGUCAGUGUUUCUGGUGAGGUCAGCGCCCAGUGACGUCCCUGUCGCCAGCAGGAAGAGCUUGCAACAUGGCCCAGCCGGUAUAAAUAGGCUCCCCGACCACAGGGCCCGGGCUGUCCCCUUGUCCCAGGCCACGUCAGCUGGGUCCGCGUGAUUCGGAGGGGAAGAGAGGACCAGCUUGGUUCCUCAGAACUGCUGCUUCCACACCUUUCCGGCCCACGGUCCGGCUGGCGAGCCUUCCCCCUUUAAACACAGGGACAGGAUUUUGUGUGGCCUGAGGGGCCCCUGGAGGCAAGAGGCCACUGGACUGGGUGGAGAGACCUGCCGGGUAAGAGGUGGAGACCAGCCCAGGUUCUGGCCUCAGUUUGUGGGCCCAGUGUUCCUGACCCAGUCAAGAAAUUCAGUUUCCCCUCCAUAAGACCACAGCAGCACAGCUUAAUAAUAAAGAGAUGAACAAUGCAA